AUUGAACGCUGGCGGCAGGCCUAACACAUGCAAGUCGAGCGGAUGAAGGGAGCUUGCUCCUGGAUUCAGCGGCGGACGGGUGAGUAAUGCCUAGGAAUCUGCCUGGUAGUGGGGGAUAACGUCCGGAAACGGGCGCUAAUACCGCAUACGUCCUGAGGGAGAAAGUGGGGGAUCUUCGGACCUCACGCUAUCAGAUGAGCCUAGGUCGGCUUAGCUAGUUGGUGGGGUAAAGGCCUACCAAGGCGACGAUCCGUAACUGGUCUGAGAGGAUGAUCAGUCACCCUGGAACUGAGACACGGUCCAGACUCCUACGGGAGGCAGCAGUGGGGAAUAUUGGACAAUGGGCGAAAGCCUGAUCCAGCCAUGCCGCGUGUUUGAAGAAGGUCUUCGGAUUGUAAAGCACUUUAAGUUGGGAGGAAGGGCAGUAAGUUAAUACCUUGCUGUUUUGACGUUACCAACAGAGUAAGCACCGGCUAACUUCGUG
rnacentral:rRNA from 1 species